rnacentral:rRNA from 1 species
UACGUAGGGGGCAAGCGUUGUCCGGAUUUAUUGGGCGUAAAGAGCGUGUAGGCGGUUUGGUAGGUCCGUUGUGAAAACUCGAGGCUCAACCUCGAGACGCCGAUGGAAACCAUCAGACUAGAGUCCGGAAGAGGAGAGUGGAAUUCCUGGUGUAGCGGUGAAAUGCGCAGAUAUCAGGAGGAACACCUGCGGUGUAGACGGCUUUCUGGACCAUUGCUGACGCUGAGACACGAAAGCGUGGGUAGCAAACAGG